UGGCCAGACUCCUACGGGAGGCAGCAGUGAGGAAUAUUGGUCAAUGGGCGGAAGCCUGAACCAGCCAAGUCGCGUGAGGGAAUAAGGCCCUACGGGUCGUAAACCUCUUUUGCCGGGGAGCAAGGGCGGGGACGUGUCCCGGCCCGGAGAGUACCCGGAGAAAAAGCAUCGGCUAACUCCGUGCCAGCAGCCGCGGUAAUACGGAGGAUGCGAGCGUUAUCCGGAUUUAUUGGGUUUAAAGGGUGCGUAGGCGGGAUGCCAAGUCGGCGGUAAAAAUGCGGUGCUCAACGCCGUCGAGCCGUUGAAACUGGCGUUCUUGAGUGGGCGAGAAGUAUGCGGAAUGCGUGGUGUAGCGGUGAAAUGCAUAGAUAUCACGCAGAACUCCGAUUGCGAAGGCAGCGCACCGGCGCCCUACUGACGCUCAGGCACGAAAGCGUGGGUAUCGAACAGGAUUAGAUACCCUUGUAC
rnacentral:rRNA from 1 species